GUAGGGAAUUUUCGGCAAUGGGGGAAACCCUGACCGAGCAACGCCGCGUGAGUGAUGAAAGUCUUCGGAUUGUAAAGCUCUGUUAUAAGGGAAGAACGUCCCCGAUAGGAUCGGGGAGUGACGGUACCUUAUCAGAAAGCUACGGCUAACUACGUGCCAGCAGCCGCGGUAAUACGUAGGUAGCGAGCGUUAUCCGGAAUUAUUGGGCGUAAAGGGUGCGUAGGCGGCUUGUUAAGUUUAAGGUGAAAGCGUGGGGCUCAACCCCAUAAAGCCUUAGAUACUGGCAAGCUAGAGUACUGGAGAGGGUAGUGGAAUUCCAUGUGUAGCGGUAAAAUGCGUAGAUAUAUGGAGGAACACCGGUAGCGAAGGCGGCUACCUAGACAGAGACUGACGCUGAUGCACGAAAGCGUGGGGAGCAAAUAGG
rnacentral:rRNA from 1 species